UUCUUAUUUAGUUCAGUUUAAUAACAUAUUUUUAAUUAACUGAAAAUUAAAUAAUUA
rnacentral:pre_miRNA from 1 species